AUCAUAUAUAUAUAUAUGUGUGUGUGUGUGUGUGUGUGUGUGUGUGUGUGUGUAUGUGUGUGUGUAUUAAUACACACACACAUACACACACA
rnacentral:miRNA from 1 species